AUUGAACGCUGGCGGCAGGCCUAACACAUGCAAGUCGAGCGAGCGGCGGACGGGUGAGUAAUGGAUGGGGACUGCCCGAUCGAGGGGGAUAACUACUGGAAACGGUGGCUAAUACCGCAUACUAUCGGAUAACCAAUAUGGGAUUAGCUAGUAGGGGGGGUAAAGGCUCACCUAGGCGACGAUGCCUAGCUGGUCUGAGAGGAUGAUCAGCCACACUGGGACGGAGACACGGCCCGGCCUCCUACGGAGGCAGCAGUGGGGAAUAUUGCGCAAUGGGCGGAAGCCUGAUGCGGCCAUGCCGCGUGUAUGAAGAAGGCCUUAGGGUUGUAAAGUACUUUCAGCGUGGAAGCGUUACCCGCAGAAUAAGCACCGGCUAACUCCGUGCCAGCAGCCGCGGUAAUAC
rnacentral:rRNA from 1 species